rnacentral:rRNA from 1 species
GGGGAGGUUUGGCACCUCGAUGUCGGCUCAUCGCAUCCUGGGGCUGUAGUCGGUCCCAAGGGUUGGGCUGUUCGCCCAUUAAAGCGGUACGCGAGCUGGGUUCAGAACGUCGUGAGACAGUUCGGUCCCUAUCCGUCGCGGGCGCAGGAAAUUUGAGAGGAGCUGUCCUUAGUACGAGAGGACCGGGAUGGACGCACCGCUGGUGUACCAGUUGUUCUGCCAAGGGCAUCGCUGGGUAGCUAUGUGCGGACGGGAUAAGUGCUGAAAGCAUCUAAGCAUGAAGCCCCCCUCAAGAUGAGAUUUCCCAUUCCGCAAGGAAGUAAGAUCCCUGAAAGAUGAUCAGGUUGAUAGGCCUGAGGUGGAAGUGUGGCGACACAUGGAGCUGACAGAUACUAAUCGAUCGAGGACUUAACCAUUUU